ensembl:lncRNA
UGUGGGGCCUCCCUGCUGCUGCGGAGUCGGUCUGCCUCUCCCCACCGCAGGGAAAAGGGUAACACAACCUGGGUCUGGGUGCAGUUCCCCCCUCCAGGGGCAAGGGUACCUAGACCCGGUUCGUUGAGUAUGCUUGGGGAGUGUGAUCGUGUGUACAGCGUCUCUUUAUGUCUGUCUCCACGUUGGUUGAGUGUGAAGUGCAUAUGAGAGGAUGAGGGGAUGGGCGUCCAGGUACACACCGGCUCACUCCUUGGCGGCCGCUUAUCGGGGCCUGGAUCCUGGGGCUCGCUCGGGCCACUUCGGAGGUGGGGUGCCCCCGGCCUCUCAGCCUGGGGCUCGGUCACUCAGGCACAGCUGGCUGCCGGCGGAGCUCACGGGCGCGUCACUGCAACUCCCCCUGGCUUCUGCUCCGCGGCUGCUGAGUGAGCCCUCAUCUGGGACUCUCCUCAGCUCUUACUGGGACAGUGGCGCGGCUGCCCCUCUGUUGGUCUUCCUUGGUCUCUUGUGUUCUGGGGGCCUCUGGAUGUCUGGAGUUUUGAUCUCCUCCAUACCUGCUUCAUGCCCUGGAGGACGGGGCUGUGGCCCCCCCACACCCUCUAGCAGAUCAUUACAUGAAGGAACCUUUUAAAAAAACAAGCGCGUCCAUUUACCGGUCGAUCUACGUCCCUACCCUCACCUAUGGUCACGAGCUGUGGGUAGUGACCGAAAGAACGAGAUCGCGGAUGCAAGCGGCAGAAAUGAGCUUCCUCCGAAGGGUGGAUGGCCUCUCCCUUAGAGAUAGGGUGAGAAGUUCGGCCAUCCGGGAGGGGCUCAGAGUAGAGCAGCUGCUGCUCCACAUCGAAAGGAGCCAGCUGAGGUGGUUCGGGCAUCUGACAAGGAUGCCCCCUGGGCGCCUCCUGGGUGAGGUGUUCCAGGCAUGUCCCACCGGGAGGAGGCCCCGGGGCAGACCCAGGACACGCUGGAGAGAUUAUAUCUCUCGGCUGGCCUGGGAACGCCUUGGUGUUCCCCCGGAUAAGCUGGAGGAGGUGGCUGGGGAGAGGGAGGUCUGGGCCUCUUUGCUUAGGCUGCUGCCCCCGCGACCCGGCUCCGGAUAAAGCGGAUGAAGAUGGAUGGAUGGAAGCGCGUCCAUGCUCACAGGUGUACACACGGGUGAUCACACCCACAAACUACACCCUUUUUGGCUCCUACCUCAAAGCACACUGUGUUCUGUUGAUCCUAUGUGCUGCACAAUAAUGUUUAAUAUUUAGUAUUUACUGUCAUAUUCCCAUAUAUCAUUGUGAUGUUGUUAUUCUAUUACUCUUGUUCUCUUCUGCUUGUUUUCUUUUUUCUUUCUCAACAGGUGAUCCAGGUGAUCGAUAGAUGCAUUUUUUUUUCUUUUUCUGCCCAUUCUGUUGGUUUUUGUUUUUUUGCCCUUCUCCCCUAUCCCUCUUCUCAGCUCUUUCUCUUUCUUUCUCCCCUUCUUUCCCCCAGUCAAGUCUGUCCCGUAUUCAACAAGUGAAAAUAAAAUAAACAAUAAAAGGUGAAUCAAAUGGACCAUUACGGCAAGGCUGGGAUGGUCAAUUUGGUAAAGUAAAUCCGUUGGGCAUCUUUCUUUGCCUUUAGACAAUAAUUCUGAUGGCAAAAGAGCCAAACGGGACAGGCAAAAAAAAAAAAAAAAAAGUCCUCUCUCCUCAACAUCUCUAUACAACCACAGAUAUGUCAUGUGGACCAACUGCCUUUCCUCUCUUCAUAGCUGCCUUCACUUCCUCCUUACUUAUCCCCUGCGCUUCCUGAUUCACUAACUUUCCUCCAUCUGUCCUCAGUUUCUGUCUUCAUUAAUGUCUUCAUUAAUGAAGACAGUGAGAGAAUACUUCUAUCUUCCAUCUUCUCAACACACUCUCUUCACCAUCUUUAUCCUUAAUCACUCUAACCUGCUGCACAUCCUUUUCAGCUCAAUCUCUGUAUAGCUAAUUCAUGCAAGUACUGUUCUCCUUCCUUAGUACCCAGCCUCACGUACAACUCAGUAUAAGCUUUUUCCUUUGCCACCUCUAUCUUUGCAGUAGGCCUGGCCUCCCAGUAUUCCUGUCUACUUUCUCCAUCUCCCCUGACUAUCGCACUUUCUCUUAGCUAUUCCUUUGAGGAACUACAGGAAAGUGUCCAAUCCACCACCAAGUCUCCUUGUCCUCUUUUCUCUCUCCAAAAGAUACACCAAACACCUUCUUUGCCUUUCUCUCACCAUUUCAGUUGUAUUUUUCCAGUCAUCUGGUAACACUUCCCUUCCACCCAGAGAAUGUCUACUCCUCCCUGAACUAACAACUGCACAACAUUCUUCCUUCUUCAGCUUCCACCAUUUAGUUCUUGUCUCUGCCUUCAUUCUCUUCCUCUUCUUGACGUCCAAAGUCAUCCUAUAGACUAGUGUCCAAUGCUGCAUGGCUACAUUCUCUCCUGACACCACCUUGCAGUCUCCUAUCUCUUUCAGACUGACCCUUCUGUUUAGGAUGUAAGCCACCUGUGUACACUUUCUUCCACUCUUCUACGUCACCUUAUGUUCCUCCUUCUUCUUGAAGUAUGAGUUCACCCCAGCCAUUUCCAUCUUCCUAAUUUUGACCUUGUGCAUUUCUCUGCUUAACACUAUACCUAUCUAACACCUCAUUAUCUCUCUUUCCUUCACCUACAUGGCUACUGAAGUCUGCUCCAAUCAACACUCUCUACCACUUUAUCAAACUAACUGCAGAAUUCCUCUUUCUCUUCUAACUGACAUCCAACCUUCAACCUGGUCUCCUGCACACACAGUAAAUCUACCUUCCUUCUCUCCAGUCAUAUCAGCCAGCUCUCUCCCUUUGCCAGUCAUAGUACCUCCACGCUCCUGCCUGUCCUUCUCUUCGACUCCUAACAUGCUUCUCCCCUAUAUGCAGAAAAAAUAAUGUUUGAUCAUCAUCAAAAGCCAGAUAUUUCAAAGUUUCAUCUAUGAAAUAUCUGGCUUUCCCAUCAUAGCAGAUGAAAUACGUAUUUUGCAUUAAAUUGCAUCAUUUCGCCUCCUGAAGGGCUCGCAAUGAGUCCACUGUGUGUAUAUAUAUGUAUUUCUUUUCCCUAUGGUAAUAAUACUUUUAGAUAAAUACUAAGUACUUUUCCACUACUGAUGUAUAUAAAGUAAAAUUAGGCUGUAAAGUUAAAUCUUACUUUAUAUAAAUCUUGGUAUGUGCUUUUAUAAUGUGUACUAAAUUGUAGUAAAACAUGUCAGGGUUCCUUUGUUUCAUGUGUUCUGGCCAGUACACUAAGCCUGAGCCUGAGUGAGAGCUGAGCAGAGAAUUGUAGCUCACUCUGCUCCCAACUUAACUGAUGCCCUGCACCUCCCCCAUAGCUGCUGCAGUGGGGGAGGGGCAGGUAAAUGUUUCCAGCACUUUGGCAGGUCUGAAGGCAAAAGAGAGUCCAAACCAGGACUAGCAAAGUGUACCUAAUAUAGCUGUUUAGUGUGUGUGUAAAAUAAAUAAAUAAUAUGGUAAUGGCUCUUUCCACUACUGAUAUAUAUAAAGUUUAAUUAGACUGUAAAACUAAAUCUUACUUUAGAUAAAUUUUAUUUUGUGAUUUCAUAAUGUGUACUAAACUGUAGUUAAAAUAAAUGUCAGGAUUCCUUUAUUUCACAUAUUGUAGCCUGUAAAUCAGGUUUGAGAGUCAGAGCUGAGGAGAAAACUUUGGCUCUCUCUGCUCCUCCAUCAGUGACCCUCCCCCCGCGCACCUGCACUGCAGCUCUCAAACUUUUGCAGGGCAUGUGACGUCAUUCAGUCCACAGUCGGAGUAGCCGUUUAAGUGGAGCUCUGAAGACUGCAAAGCACGCUUUCUGCAGGUGAAGGAAGCCACGGCAGCAAGCCAAAUACAGACGAUAACGUGGCGCUCGCAUGCAGUGAUAAUGGCUGUUCUGAUAGUGGUGUUUUUUGUGACUCCAGAUGGCUAAUAUUUGACAUAGCAGCUACUCCGUGUCCCCCAGAGAAAUGAAAAAGGAGGAGGCAGUGAGAUGGAUGAAGGUGGAAGUUCUGAGCAUUUCUCCUCUCAAAAGAGACCGGAGCCCACCAGUGAAGAGAGUUCAGAUGUAGAUGAAGAGAGCAAGGAAGCAAGACUGGCUUUGAGGAAAAGGCGAAAAACCAAAGUGGCCAAAGCAAAGGAGAUCCCCCGUGCGAAGGUCAAGAGGCCAUGGAGUGAAGCAGAGAAGACGGCAGUGCAAAGACGGCUGGGAAUUAUGUAGGAAGCAGGAAGGUCAUACUGGUACAGUUGUAGCCAUCCUAAGCUUUACUGAUUUUUCUUUUUGGCAGAAGUCAAAACAAACCGAUCAAAGUUAUUGAUCACUAUUUUAGUUGUAAGUCAUUAGACUUAAUAGUUGUCUUCAUUGUUAUAAUAGCAAUUAUUAUUCCUCUGGAAGGAUGUUACAUUGUGAAAUAAACUGAAUUUGCUCUUGUUGCAGCAUUGUGGGAAUUUCCUUGGUAAUUAUUAAUAAAAUCUACAGCGGUAUUUGAAAUGUAAUACUACCUUUUGUUAUGUAGGGUUGUCUUGAUAGAUUAUCAGAACUUUUUAGUUAUUCUAUUUAUGUAUAAAGUUGAGACUGUUUAACUUUAACAUUAUUUGGUUGCACUAAAAUAGAAAAUGUCAAGGAGUGAAUGCAAACAGAAAAAAACAUAUAGACAGAAACGAACACAAAAGCACCCCCUGGUGGAAAAUCACCUGAAUAGCACUCAAUGACAAGGUCCUCAUUCUGAUAGUAGAAUGAGAUUUUUUUUUUACUUGAGUGUUUUAAGAUUUUGAGGUGAUUUUUGGUGUUAGAGAGCCACCCAGUGUUCAAAAAUGGCAAAGGUUUGUCUGCAAGUGUAGCAGAAAUGGUGGUCCUCACUUUGAUAGUACACUUACCCGGUCCUCAGUCGUUAUGCAAGACAGGAAUGUGUGUGUGUGUGUGUGUGUAUGUA